rnacentral:rRNA from 1 species
CCUACGGGAGGCUGCAGUGAGGAAUAUUUGUCAAUGGACGAGAGUCUGAACCAGCGAAGUAGCGUGAAGGAUGACUGCCCUAUGGGUUGUAAACUUCUGUUAUGUGGGAAUAAAAUGUUCCACGUGUGGGAUUUUGUAUGUACCAUAUGAAUAAUGAUCGGCUAACUCCGUUCCAGCAGCCGCGGUAAUACGGAGGAUCCGAGCGUUAUCCGGAUUUAUGGGGUUUAAAGGGAGCGUAGGUGGAUUGUUAAGUCAGUUGUGAAAGUUUGGGGCUCAACCGUAAAAUUGCAGAUGAAACUGGCAGUCUUGAGUACAGUAGAGGUGGGCGGAAUUCGUGGUGUAGCGGUGAAAUGCUUAGAUAUCACGAAGAACUCUGAUGGCGAAGGCAGCUCACUGGACUGCAACUGACACUGAGGCUCGAAAGUGUGGGGAUCAAACAGGAUUAGAUACCCGGGUAGUC